rnacentral:rRNA from 1 species
CCUACGGGUGGCUGCAGUGAGGAAUAUUGGUCAAUGGGCGGGAGCCUGAACCAGCCAAGUCGCGUGAGGGACGACGGUCCUAUGGAUUGUAAACCUCUUUUGUCGGGGAACAAAGGCGCCCACGGGUGGGCGGAUGAGUGUACCCGAAGAAAAAGCAUCGGCUAACUCCGUGCCAGCAGCCGCGGUAAUACGGAGGAUGCGAGCGUUAUCCGGAUUCAUUGGGCUUAAAGGGAGCGUAUGCGGGCGUUCAAGUCAGCUGUAAAAUCGCGCGGCUCAACCGCGCCCCGCAGUUGAAACUGGACGCCUUGAGUUCACAACAGGCAGGCGGAAUUCGUGGUGUAGCGGUGAAAUGCAUAGAUAUCACGAGGAACCCCGAUUGCGAAGGCAGCCUGCCGGGGUGCGACUGACGCUGAGGCUCGAAGGUGCGGGUAUCAAACAGGAUUAGAUACCCGAGUAGUC